GCUGGUAUAGCUCAGUCGGUAGAGCACUUCACUCGUAAUGAAGGGGUCGUGCGUUCAAGUCGCAUUACCAGCUCCA
rnacentral:tRNA from 1 species